rnacentral:lncRNA from 1 species
CUUCAUCAACCAGGCUGUGCGGAACUCAGACCUCGUGCCCAAGGCCAAGGGGCGGAAGAGCCUCCAGCGCCUGGAGAACACCCAGUACCUCCUGACCCUGCUGGAGACCGAAGGAGGCACACCUGGCCUGGAGGAUGGGGACCUGGCACCCCCUGCGGCCCCCGGCAUCUUCGCAGAGGCCUGCAGCAAUGAGACCUACAUCGAGGUCUGGAACGACUUCAUGAACCGGGAGGAGCAGGAGCGGGUUCUCCGCUACCUGGAGGAUGAGGGCAAAAGCAAGGCGCGGAGGAGGGGGCCUGGCCGCGGAGAAGACCGGCGGAGAGAGGACCCAGCCUACACGCCCCGAGAGUGCUUCCAGCGCAUCAGCCGGCGUCUGCGAGCCAUCCUCAAGCGAAGCCGCAUCCCCAUGGAAACCCUGGAGACCUGGGAGGAGCGGCUGCUGAGGUUCUUCUCUGUGUCUCCACAGGCCGUGUACACGGCCAUGCUGGACAACAGCUUUGAGAGGCUCCUGCUUCAUGCUGUCUGCCAGUACAUGGACCUCAUCUCAGCCAGUGCCGACCUGGAGGGUAAGCGGCAGAUGAAGGUCAGCAAUCGGCACCUGGACUUCCUGCCCCCGGGGCUGCUCUUGUCCGCAUACCUGGAACAGCGCAGCUGAUGGUGGCCCCGCGGUGCUCCCGCAGCCCCGUCUCCCUGGCGCCAAGACCUCCCAUACCACCUGCUGAAAUACCUUUAUUAUUUUUAGAAUUUUCCCUUGGAAACAUGCUCCUCCCCUUGGGGUCACCCCGUUCCAGCCCAUCUUCCCAGAUGUGUUGGUGGCUGGGCCUCCCCAAACUCCCCGGCUGGGCCACUUCCAUGUCCCUUCCUCAGUCAGCAUUUUUGGCCCCUUCUGAGCUUACGCGAGGAGGGAGAGGCUGGAUUUUUAUCAUUUUUAAUGAAUUUGGUGUGAUUUGUUGUAGAUUUUUAAAUUUCCCUUUUGAGAAAAAAAACAAAGAACUUGCCCCAAGUGAUAACUCGAGGGGCUUCAUUCCAGUCCUUGCUUGACCCCCUCCCAAUAUGUGGCAUGGGUGGGGGUCUCUGGGGCCCUGUCCCUCGCCCCAGGGGCAUUACGUUUUUUUGUGUGUGCGCGUGUGUGUGCGUGUGCCCUGUGACCCAGGACAGAGGCUGCGUCUUAGAGCUGGUUUCACCCCCUUUUUUGGACUGUGUGCUGUCUUCCUGGGCACGCUGUGGUGGCCCUUGGGGGUCCUGUGUCCCUGAGAUACCCCCUACCUUCAUACUGGGGGUCUGGGACUUCCAGCCAGAAGCCUCCGCCCUCAGACUGUCUUGUUCCCCUUUCCAUGUCCCCUCAUGUAUACCGCCCCCCAGCCUGGCUCUGGGUGUCCUCAUGCGGGUCCCCCUGACCUGGCGUGUGAGUGCAGAGCUGGGAGGCUCCCCCCUCCCCCCCCCCCCCCGCAGCCUUGUGUGUGUGGCUAGUUGUGCUUUGGAAAAAGUGGAGAGUUCAAUAAAUUUCUGGUGCUCUGGU